CUCACUGGAACACUACCCCAGGAAGGAGAAAAAAAAAAAAAGCUCAACAAACAAUUCUCCACAAAAAGCCUUACUGGGGCCAGUGCCCUGUUCACUUGUUUAGUUCCUUAGCUAUAAUUUCCCCAGCUUUAAUAGCGCUCUCUCAACCAGGCAGAGAGUUGUGCUGCUAUUGGUCCUCAAGUCAGUUUCAGGGGAGGUCAUGUUUGAUAGUGCAGAUGCCAUCUGGAUUUUAUCUUUGCCAAAAGAACACCCUGUCUUAGGCUGGAGUUUUUGGAAGAUGGUAAGAUAGAAAAUAAAAGAGAAAUUUGACAUUGAUCGUGGAUAGUUGUAGCUGUUAACUUUUUUUCUGUCCCUUAAAUCGUAGGUGCAGUGUCCUAGACAAGGACAUUAACUGACUAGGGAUUCCUCAUCUCUGCCAGAUGGAGGAAAUAAGAAGCUGAAGGGAUAUAUUUUUGCAGUGUUUACAGUGCAUGGAAGUUUCCUUAAAUACAUAAUCAGAGAACUCACUGAUGAACAUCCUCGCUCCAUCCAAGGUCCAGCAGCAUCCCCGCCUAAACCAUUGACCACUGACAAGACAAAAUGUUAGGUAAGAGAAGCUGCAUAUCAAGACCAUUCCUUUUGUAGCAGCAUCCAGGUAACGAUCCCCAAAGUGAAUUAUUC